UGCCGUGUGAUCUGAUGUGCUGACAACCU
rnacentral:piRNA from 1 species